AUUGAACGCUGGCGGCAUGCCUUACACAUGCAAGUCGAACGGCAGCACGGGUGCUUGCACCUGGUGGCGAGUGGCGAACGGGUGAGUAAUACAUCGGAACAUGUCCUGUAGUGGGGGAUAGCCCGGCGAAAGCCGGAUUAAUACCGCAUACGAUCUACGGAUGAAAGCGGGGGACCUUCGGGCCUCGCGCUAUAGGGUUGGCCGAUGGCUGAUUAGCUAGUUGGUGGGGUAAAGGCCUACCAAGGCGACGAUCAGUAGCUGGUCUGAGAGGACGACCAGCCACACUGGGACUGAGACACGGCCCAGACUCCUACGGGAGGCAGCAGUGGGGAAUUUUGGACAAUGGGCGAAAGCCUGAUCCAGCAAUGCCGCGUGUGUGAUGAAGGCCUUCGGGUUGUAAAGCACUUUUGUCCGGAAAGAAAUCCUUGGCCCUAAUACGGUCGGGGGAUGACGGUACCGGAAGAAUAAGCACCGGCUAACUACGUG
rnacentral:rRNA from 1 species